UGCUUCUUUAAAAAAAAAAAAUCUUCUAAAGGACGCGCGCUCUUUCACGUUAGCGGUUCAUAUAUGCGAAAUAACAGUGCGCGCGCCAACGCGGGCGACACCUUUCAUUUAUAACCACGAUCGCAUUAAAGCUGUGCAAAUAUCCAUAAAGAUAAUUUCUCUCACACACGGAGGCUGCAUUCUAUUCAAACCUACCAAAUGCAUAUGUUGCAGAUUCGUCCGCAGCGUGAUGCAUCUUCUCUCUUACUCACAAUAUAUUUAGUCUUCUCUUUUUCGACACAGGGGCUCAGGAGCUCCGGGACCAAACACAGAAAAGCAGAAAAAAGAAAAAGAAGAAAAAAAAAUGAAGAGGAACGCUGUUUAUUGGAAAACACAAUGUCUGAUCGUGCAAAAACUUUGCAGAGCCCGAAAGCACCGCGUGCGCUCGCUGUGCCGAGCGAGAAAUUACCAAAUCUAAGUUCACUUGUCGUCCGAGUAGAAUGUCAUUUGACUGCCCCCUCUGGAGACGGAUAAGUAGGCAAUAUGCGGCAAAAGCAGAGCUCCUGUGUGCCUUUUUCUCUCCUACAGUAAUGUGGCCAAAACGCGCCUCGGCGCCGCUGCUUUGUGUGGGCAACUGAGGAGAGAGGGAGGGGGCGAAGUCACAACGGACACCUGUCUGAUAAAAGGAAGCUUGCGCACAACAAUAGAGCAGCCCAACGGGACCCGUAUCGAUUGAGACCAGACAGAGGAUGUCGCCUGCACUAAAUAUUUACUGAUCACACAGAAAUAGCUGCUCUUAACGAUCUGCCGUGCUCCGGCUGGGAGGAAGGACUAAAUCACUUUAUUAUUGCUCGGAAAAUAAAGCCAAACCCCAGGAACGCGCUGUGGAACGCGGCGGCGGAGGUGUGCUGAUUGGAAUAAGUGCAGUUAAAUGAAUCGAUAGCCAGUUUGAUAAUAGUAGAGAUUUACGGACGCGCAAAGAGGACGCGUGCGCGGAUUUGUGCACGGAAAAGACGAGCAGAUUGUGAAAACACACAUGUGGACAUGUGGAAUAUCAGGAAGUCUGUAAAAAGCUUUGGCGCGAGGAAGGACUUUUACGCACGGCUAAAAAGUCAAAGUGGGACUAAAACGCGCACUUUAAUCUUUUCUCUGACUUCACCAAGUCCUUCAUACAGACAGAGGAACACUGACCCGGGGGUCCUGAAGUUCCCCGCCUGAUUAACCCUUCCAGACCCGGGCAGGAGCAAAGGUUAACCGGGCUAAUCAACUUCAAGAGUCCGAUUGAAUUAAACCACUGCGGGUACGAGAC